UGGAAUGUUGCUCAAUGAUGCAGCACCUGCCUAGCAAGCAGGAGGCCCUAAGUUCGACUCCCAGCACCAA
rnacentral:tRNA from 1 species